UCCCACCUCCUACGCUUCUCCACCAGGCUCCCAGGGGCUCCUUCCCUCCCCCUCCUCCAGUGUCCAGGGCACCUCAGCCCUGGUCCCCAUGCUGGCCUAAGAGCUCAUCGCCAUAUUAAGAAAGGAAAAGGAGCGAUGCCGGAGCUAAAAAUAAGAGCAGAUGAGUCGGAGACCUUCCACAGCUAAACAAGGAAGGCCACAGAAAAUCUCAGAAACAUGGCAGGAGUGAGGCCAAGAGAAACAGCUGUCGCUGCAGCAGGAGAGGUCGGAGCUGGCCUAGGCACAGCACGUUAGAGCUGAAGAGACCUCAGAAAGUAUCCUGGUCUCCCUGAAGAGUGACUAACGUGGGAAAGCUCCACGUCCAGAGUGAAGACGGCCAUGUGAGACGGGGAGGCCUGCCUGGAAGCAGAUGACCUGGGUGACAUCCAGCCCCGAUUUGUCACUUCUGUAUUCCAAGGGAGGGAGACACAUUGGGACAGAGAUGCUGGAACAUAAAACUUGCUCCAUCUUGAAUCUGACUUUUUGUACCCCGAAGAGUGUGAGAUGGGAUGCUGGUGGCUGAGCCUGCUCCAUCUCCGGGUCCUUUCCUGCAGCUACUGGACAUUGCCAUCCAUCCCGUUCCCUCUCGUUGCCCUCUCUGGCUCCAGUCCUACCUUUCCCCUUUCUGGCAACCACCUCCACUGCUCUCUCUCUUGAUGCUUUGCUCUCUCUACUUUUUUUUUUUUUUUUUGAGACGGAGUUUCGCUCUUGUUAACCCAGGCUGGAGUGCAAUGGCGCGAUCUCGGCUCACCGCAACCUCCACCUCCUGGGUUCAGGCAAUUCUCCUGCCUCAGCUUCCUGAGAAGCUGGGAUUACAGGCACGAGCCACCAUGCCCAGCUAAUUUAUUUGUAUUUUUAGUAGAGACGGGGUUUCACCAUAUUAACCAGGAUGGUCUCAAUCUCUUGACCUCGUGAUCCACCCGCCUCGGCCUCCCAAAGUGCUGGGAUUACAGGCGUGAGCCACGGCGCUCGGCUGCUCUCUCUACUUUCUACUCAAUUUCCUUCCCUUCAGGCCCUUGGACUUAAGAAGCCUCAGCCACUGGUAUCAAAUGACCGUGAGUUGGGACCUCUGUAUUUUUAACCCACAAGACACCCGAAGCUCCUGCUACUGAAACCUGAGGAGCUGGCCCCUCUGUGCUCCCGCUUCCCACCUCACUCACAUACACCCUGGUCCAUUGAUCUUCCAGGGUCUGGUUCAGCCAUGUCAGCAACUGGGGAAGGACCCCAGGCUGAUAUAGCACUGUCCCUAGGGCACCUUGUGCUGGAGGAGGGAGGGGAAGAGGGAGAGCGACCUCUGCGGAGGGGCCUGAUGUAGGGAAAACAGCUGGCAAUACUCACGACGGCCUUCUCCUCGAUAGCCUGUGGCCUCUCAUCCUCCAGACCCACCUGGGGUCCUUCCCCAUCACUAUCCUAUUUUUUUGUUUUUGUGUAUUUUUGGCCCCAUCCUCAUUGAAAGAAUGAUCUGAAAGUGAUUAAGGGUACAUGUUCUGAAAA